UAUUUGAAACGCCGCCAAAGAACACCUACACGCCGCCUCAGAACACCUACCAGUUCUCUGCGCUUCGCCGGCGCAAUGAACUCGUAGGUGUUCUGUGAAGAACCCGGCCAUGGUAGUGUGACCCGGCGAGGCUCAUUCGAAUCCUCAAGGACUGCAGAAAUUAGGCGUCUCUUCGAAGCUUCAUCUAACCAUAGCCACUAUUCUUAAGCUGGCGCCUUAAUUGAACGUUCGUGAAGUACCAUUCAUCGUGCUUUGUCUUCGGGAGUCGUGCAGCUUCGUGUGGACAACGCAGUACACGAACCGGUGACUCGUAACGGUUUUGUCAACGUCGUCGUGACAGCUCGAUCGACAGACGUCGCAGGCUGCGAUGCGCUGCCUUGCAACAACAGACUCUCUAUGUAUAGUAUGAAGAGAAAGCGAUAUGCUCAGCAUUCACAAUGCUUGUUAUGCAAAGCCUCCAAGGGAUGUGGCCAAAGGACGACCUGCGGAAUCUGUGCACUCAAUCAACGCUGUCGUCAGAGCAAUGUUCACCUUUGCUGAAAAUCCAAGUGUGAGAAACUGAAGCAGCAGACAGCUCCAAGACAUGAUCUGUGCAAGUCAUGUUUAGAGGAGCUGCAAAUAAUAAAAAAAAAGUUUGACCCCAGUG